GAUGAACGCUGGCGGCGUGCCUAAUACAUGCAAGUCGAGCGAACGGACGAGAAGCUUGCUUCUCUGAUGUUAGCGGCGGACGGGUGAGUAACACGUGGAUAACCUACCUAUAAGACUGGGACAACUUCGGGAAACCGGAGCUAAUACCGGAUAAUAUUUUGAACCGCAUGGUUCAAAAGUGAAAGACGGUCUUGCUGUCACUUAUAGAUGGAUCCGCGCUGCAUUAGCUAGUUGGUAAGGUAACGGCUUACCAAGGCAACGAUGCAUAGCCGACCUGAGAGGGUGAUCGGCCCCACUGGAACUGAGACACGGUCCAGACUCCUACGGGAGGCAGCAGUAGGGAAUCUUCCGCAAUGGGCGAAAGCCUGACGGAGCACCGCCGCGUGCGUGAUGAAGGUCUUCGGAUCGUAAAACUCUGUUAUUAGGGAAGAACAUAUGUGUAAGUAACUGUGCACAUCUUGACGGUACCUAAUCAGAAAGCCACGGCUAACUACGUG
rnacentral:rRNA from 1 species